GCAAAAAUCGUGUCUUACAAUCAUCUAUUUCUUGUAUUAUAUAAUACAUACUAAUCUAAAUACCUACUCGAUACUAUUUUAUUACCCGACUGCCAUUAAGGGGUUAAUUAUAUUUUUGUCCUUACAUUCCCCCUCAAACAUUCCAUUUUAGAGACCUUAAAUUUAUUGUUUGGAGACAAUAUAGUACUAAUAUAUUUUUGACACAUCAGCAUCCUUGUUUUUUCACAAUCUUGAGUAGCUUAGAAGUGUAGCUG
rnacentral:lncRNA from 1 species